rnacentral:rRNA from 1 species
ACUCCUACGGGAGGCAGCAGUGGGGAAUAUUGCACAAUGGGCGCAAGCCUGAUGCAGCCAUGCCGCGUGUAUGAAGAAGGCCUUCGGGUUGUAAGUACUUUCAGCAGUGAGGAAGGUGGAUAUGUUAAUAGCAUAUUCAUUUUGACGUUUAGCUGCAGAAGAAGCACCGGCUAACUCCGUGCCAGCAGCCGCGGUAAUACGGAGGGUGCGAGCGUUAAUCGGAAUUACUGGGCGUAAAGCGCAUGCAGGUGGUUUGUUAAGUCAGAUGUGAAAGCCCGGGGCUCAACCUCGGAAUUGCAUUUGAAACUGGCAAACUAGAGUACUGUAGAGGGGGUAGAAUUUCAGGUGUAGCGGUGAAAUGCGUAGAGAUCUG